rnacentral:misc_RNA from 1 species
UAACCCUCAAGCCUGGCUUGGUGUUGGGGCCUGCUGUUACCGGCAGCCCUUAAAAUCAGUGGCGGUGCCAUCUGGCUCUAAGCGUAGUAAUACUUCUCGCUACAGGGUCCCGGUGGAUGCUUGCCAUCAACCCCUAAUUUUCUAU